ensembl:lincRNA 4930528D03Rik RIKEN cDNA 4930528D03 gene
AACUGCUUGGCAUCAGACUAGGGUGACUUGUGGAAGUUGGUUGACUGGCAGCUCGGAAGUUUCAGAGCUUCAGUCCAUUAUCAUCAUGGUGGAAAGCAUGGCAGCAUCCAGGCAGGCAUGGCACUGGAGAAGUGGAGAGUCCUACAUCCUGAUAUGAAGGCAGCCAGGAGAAGACUAAUGGUCUGAAAGCCCACCCACCCCUGCAGUGACACACUUCCUCCAACUAGGCCAUGCCUCCUAAGAGUGUCACUCCCUAUGGGCCAAGCAUAUUCAAGCUACCAUAACUAGGGUGUGGGGUGGGUGUGGGUGCGGGAUGUUCUGAAUGGCUCGUGGGAUGUCCUUCCCACUGAUGGGAUCAUGUGAGUGUGUGUUGUGUCUGACCAGUAGAUCACAACCUGGGUUCUAGCCUGGAAAGGCAUUUUGGAAACCUGGAAGAGAAGAGGGGCUGGGCUGCNNNNNNNNNNNNNNNNNNNNNNNNNNAGAUAAGGAAGGAACCAAGACAAAGCUCUCUGCUCAAGGUUCAAUUUUUACUAUUUCGGCACUCAGUUAUAAAGGAAGUGGGAGGGGCCCAAUUCCCGCCAAAUAAUCUUAGAGUCCAGUAGCAGGGUGAUCACGUGAUGGCUUCGGAACAGCAAAGCUGCAGGUUCCAGCAGUGGGCGUGGCAGAACGAUUGAGCUGGCAAGCUCCACCCCUGAGCAAGCAGGUUUCAGACUGGGGGAGGGGAGACUACAAGUGUGGGCACUGGGCAGACUCACUUAUCAGAAACAUCAAGGACAGACUGCAAUUGGUAAGGUGCAUCAGGGUGACAGAAGGACAGUGUGCAACUUUGGACUACAAGGAUUUGGGUUACAGUGUUUCAAAGUCUUACAUUGAGACUCUUGAUGCAUUUGCAGCUUCCUGGUGUGUGGGGUGAGAAGAUGGGGAUCUAGUUUAACGUUCUACAUGUAGACACACUCUGUCUGUUGAAGAUGCUAUCAUCGUCCUACAAAAUCUCUCCUCCCCUGCCUUUGAUGAAGUUGCUACCACAUGGGGUAUGCCCAUCUGCAGGACAUGGAGGAAGGACCCCAGCCAGUAAUCAGCAAGCGUGUGACCGACAGCCUCAACCAAAAUCCCGCCAGAAUUCCAUGAGACAACCUGGAAAUGGGCUGUUCCCCAAUCAAGCCUUUCAAUACAGGCUUGUCAAAGACCCCCAAAGCAGAGAAUGCAGGGUUCAGAGACCGAGACAAUAAGUUAGGUUCUUAACCAAUAAAUUUAAGGUACCC